rnacentral:rRNA from 1 species
UACAGAGGAUGCAAGCGUUAUCCGGAAUGACUGGGCGUAAAGCGUCUGUAGGCGGCUUUUUAAGUCCGCCGUCAAAUCCCAGGGCUCAACUCUGGACAGGCGGUGGAAACUACCAAGCUGGAGUACGGUAGGGGCAGAGGGAAUUUCCGGUGGAGCGGUGAAAUGCGUAGAUAUGCGGAGGAACACCGAUGGCGAAGGCAAUCCCCUGGACCUGUACUGACGCUCAUGCACGAAAGCGUGGGGAGCAAACAGG